rnacentral:rRNA from 1 species
UCUGGUUGAUCCUACCAGUAGUCAUAUGCUUGUUUCAAGGAUUAAGCCAUGCAUGUCUCAGAGUAAAUGGAUUAAAAGUGGGUCUGCGAAUGGCUCAUUACAUCAGCACAAGUCUACCCGAGAAAGUGGGGAUCCAUCCCUACCAAACGGAUAACCACUGUAACCCGGUGGCUAAUACGUGUACGGCAGUCCCAACCUCCGCCAUAGCGCCGAGGGGAAACCUGAGGCGUGGAGGGACGGAGUCGUUGGCCGAUACAAAAACCAACGCUCGCAAGAGCAGCGCGUAUCGACGACCCAGGCCAACCUAACGAUAGCACAUCAGCCCCGCGCUGGUGCUCGCUCGGAUGAUGUUCUGCCCUAUCAGCUUUCGAUGGUUGUGUAGUGGACAACUAUGGCAGUAACGGGUAACGGAGAAUCAGGGUUCGAUUCCGGAGAGGGAGCCUGAGAGACGGCUACCACAAUUAAGAUUGGCAGCAGGCGCGUAAAUUGCCCAAUACCAAUACACGGUGAGGCAGCGACGAAAAAUAACAACUCUGCAUGUCAUACGAUGUGUGGAGAUUGUAAUGGAUGAUACCCAAACCCAUCACUGAGUAUCCGUUGGAGGGCAAGUCUGGUGCCAGCAGCCGCGGUAACUCCAGCUCCAAUAGCGUAUACUAAUGCUGCUGCUGUUAAAAGGCUCGUAGUUGGAUUCAGAGCUGGGGGUCGUAGAGCGGCCCUCUGCGGCGCGGUGGCCUCUGUGCCUUCGGGCGCGAGGCCACCCGCGUCGCACUGUGGAUCAGACCCUCUACACUCGACCUCCACUCUUCACACACGGAAUCAUUUGGGGCUGUGGAAGCCUCCUUAAUUGGUGGCUGAAGCGCUUCCGCAUUCAACACAUGCAUAUGCCCCUGUCUGUGGAGGUUACUGUGAACAAAACAGCGUGUCCAAAGCAACCACAUGUUUGGCUGAAUGAUCUAGCAUGGAAUAACAAGGCAGCGUCCUCUGGGUUCUGCCUUUUUGUUGGUUCUAAUCGGCCCAGAUGGGCAAUGCAGGGCUUGUGCUCCAUCGGGGUUCUUGAUCUGGCUGCCUCGGCACGCCUUUUCUCCCCCGGCUGGACCUUGUUCCCUAUCGGGAUCAAUGGAGGCCAUCGGGGUGGUAUGUAUUCCGACGUGAGUGGUGAAAUACUUAGACCGUCGGAAGACAGACGACAGCGAAGGCAUUCCGCCAGAAUGUUUUCAUUAAUCAAGAACGAGAGUGUGGGGAUCGAAGAUGAUCAGAUACCAUCGUAGUCCAUUACCGUAAACUAUGCCGACUCGGCAUCGGGAGUCUGUUCACUUUGAAGACUCUCCCGGCAUCACCCCCAUAACGAGAAAUCCAAGUCUAUGGUUCAGGGGGGAGUACAUUCGCAAGGCUGAAACUUAAAGGAAUUGACGGAAUGACACCACAAGGCGUGGAGUAUGCGGCUUAAUUUGACCCAACACGGGGAAGCCUACCAGGUCAGGACACAGUAAGGAUUGACAGAUUGAGU